AUAUUUCGGAACUGAGUCUAGUUCCUUCGAUAUCAGUGUAAUCUAAUAAUCAUAAAUUCACCUGAGUACAUUACACCAACACAGCAAAUUUCAUGAUUAUUAGAUUACACUGAUAUCGAAGGAACUAGACUCAGUUCCGAAAUAU